UUUGAUUUUUUAUGAUGAGUUCAUAGUUCAACUGAUUUAAACUGAAGAAUACUUGCAAUGUCUUUCGCUCCUAUCUGAUAAUUUUC